rnacentral:lncRNA from 1 species
GUGGGAACGGGAAAAGGCGGACCACGUGACACCUCGGGCUUGUGGCGCUCCGGGCUUGCUAGGCUCACUCCUAACUUGCCUCGGCGAGUGUCACUGAGUGUUGCCUGUUUGGACUCUGAACUAGACAGUUCUAGAUCUGAUAGAAAGAACAGGAGUUGCUCAGUGUGUGUCGGCAUCCAGCCACAGGUCAGCUGGGUCCUGCUCAGCUGUCACAGCAAAGAGACUACUGUGCAGAGCUGUAGCCUCAAGGGAAGCUGACUCCCUUCUCAAGUCACUGAGCUCAGGGAACUCCAUGGAAGUGGAGGCAGAAAGAGUGUAAGAACCAGAGGGGAUGGAGGACACCAAGAAAACAAGGCCUUCUGAAUCAACAUGAGCAAGCUCGUAUGAACCCAGAAACUGAAGCAGAAUGCAACGGACCUGCAUGAGUACAAACCAGAUUGGUGCCCAGCACAACUGUCAGAGAGAUGUCAUCCAGUAACUGACGGAAACAGAUGCAGACCCACAGCCAAACAGGAGGCAGAGCUUCGUGAAUCCUGCAGAAAGUGGGAGGAAAGAUUGUAGGAGCCAGAGUGUCUAAGGACACUACAAGACAAACCACAGAAUCAAUUAACCUGGGCUCAUAGGACUCUCAGAGACUGAAC